rnacentral:rRNA from 1 species
GGAGAAUGUUAUCACGGGAGACACACGGCGGGUGCUAACGUCCGUCGUGAAGAGGGAAACAACCCAGACCGCCAGCUAAGGUCCCAAAGUCAUGGUUAAGUGGGAAACGAUGUGGGAAGGCCCAGACAGCCAGGAUGUUGGCUUAGAAGCAGCCAUCAUUUAAAGAAAGCGUAAUAGCUCACUGGUCGAGUCGGCCUGCGCGGAAGAUGUAACGGGGCUAAACCAUGCACCGAAGCUGCGGCAGCGACGCUGAUGCGUUGUUGGGUAGGGGAGCGUUCUGUAAGCCUGUGAAGGUGGCCUGUGAGGGUUGCUGGAGGUAUCAGAAGUGCGAAUGCUGACAUAAGUAACGAUAAAGCGGGUGAAAAGCCCGCUCGCCGGAAGACCAAGGGUUCCUGUCCAACGUUAAUCGGGGCAGGGUGAGUCGACCCCUAAGGCGAGGCCGAAAGGCGUAGUCGAUGGGAAACGGGUUAAUAUUCCCGUACUUGGUGUUACUGCGAAGGGGGGACGGG